AACGCGAAGAACCUUACCUGGGCUCGAAAUGGAGUGGACCGGAGUAGAAAUAUUCCUUCCCCGCAAGGGGCCGCUCUAUAGGUGCUGCAUGGCUGUCGUCAGCUCGUGUCGUGAGAUGUUGGGUUAAGUCCCGCAACGAGCGCAACCCUUAUUACCAGUUGCCAUCAUUAAGUUGGGCACUCAGGUGAGACCGCCUCGGAUAACGGGGAGGAAGGCGGGGAUGACGUCAAGUCAUCAUGGCCUUUAUGUCCAGGGCUACACACGUGCUACAAUGGCCGGUACAAAGCGCUGCAAACCCGCGAGGGGAAGCUAAUCGCAAAAAACCGGUCUCAGUUCGGAUCGCAGGCUGCAACUCGCCUGCGUGAAGCUGGAAUCGCUAGUAAUGGCGUAUCAGAACGAUGCCGUGAAUACGUUCCCGGGCCUUGUACACACCGAGUAUA
rnacentral:rRNA from 1 species